rnacentral:rRNA from 1 species
GGAUUGCCCUAGUAACGGCGAGUGAAGCGGCAUCAGCUCAAAUUUGAAAUCUGGCUCUUUUAGGGUCCGAGUUGUAAUUUGCAGAGGGCGCUUUGGCAUAGGCAGCGAUUCAAGUUCCUUGGAACAGGACGUCACAGAGGGUGAGAAUCCCGUACGUGGUCGCUAGCUCUUGCCGUGUAAAGCCCCUUCGACGAGUCGAGUUGUUUGGGAAUGCAGCUCUAAAUGGGAGGUAAAUUUCUUCUAAAGCUAAAUAUUGGCCAGAGACCGAUAGCGCACAAGUAGAGUGAUCGAAAGAUGAAAAGUACUUUGGAAAGAGAGUCAAAAAGCACGUGAAAUUGUUGAAAGGGAAGCGCUUGCAGCCAGACUUGCCUGUAGUUGCUCAUCCGGGCUUUUGUCCGGUGCACUCUUCUGUAGGCAGGCCAGCAUCAGUUUGGGCGGUUGGAUAAAGGUCUCUGUCAUGUACUUCUCUUCGGGGAAGCCUUAUAGGGGAGACGACAUACAACCAGCCUGGACUGAGGUCCGCGCAUUCGUGCUAGGAUGCUGGCGUAAUGGCUGUAAGCG